GCCAACAACCCACCACUAACCCUUCGGGUACAGUGCGGCUUGAAAAACAGCCGGUGUUGACCAGACUUAGGUAGCAAUACCUGCCUUAGUAGUAAGUGUUAAAAUUCACACCGAGGACAGUGCCCAGCUAGUUAAGAACUCUGCAAUCAGAACAUUAAUUAGCCGUUUUGAAUGCUGGUGUGUUUAGAAAAGUACCGACUCCUAACAAGGUCAUUGCUCGUAUCACAGUGUGAAAGCU
rnacentral:sRNA from 1 species